UACAGAGGGUGCAAGCGUUGUUCGGAAUUAUUGGGCGUAAAGCGCGUGUAGGCGGCUUUGCAAGUCGGGUGUGAAAGCCCUCAGCUCAACUGAGGAAGUGCGCCCGAAACUGCAGAGCUUGAGUACCGGAGAGGAUGGCGGAAUUCCCCAAGUAGAGGUGAAAAUUCGUAGAUAUGGGGGAGGAACACCGGUGGCGAAGGCGGCCAUCUGGACGGAUACUGACGCUGAGACGCGAAAGCGUGGGGAGCAAACAGG
rnacentral:rRNA from 1 species